GUUCAAUGGAAGAAAAGAAUGAUAGGUCAACAGAACUAAAUUCAGACUAUUCUG
rnacentral:ribozyme from 1 species